GCCGGGGUAGCUCAGUUGGUUAGAGCACAUCACUCAUAAAGAUGAGGUCAUCGGUUCAAUUCCGAUCCCCGGCA
rnacentral:tRNA from 1 species